rnacentral:rRNA from 1 species
AUGGAUUUGGGUGGGAAAGCGAAGGAUUUGGUGGUAUUUGGUGAUUAUCGCCGGACGACGCCGGAGUUCGCCUCAGUCGCUGUAGGCACUAGAACCGUCACGAAGGGACGGAAAGACUCCCCUUGUUUGCUGUCUCGAGGUGAACCAAGUUUUGAAAAGCUAUCUCGUAUGCACUUGGCGUUUCAUGACUGGGAUCAACGAGUGUUGAAAAAACCAAAGAAAAGGCUCCGGAAAGUGCAGAGGGAGUUAGAGGAAGUAAUGACGGGCCCCAUGACGGAUGAAAAUGAAAUCAAGAGGAAGGAGCUAGCUGAACUAGUAGAGUAUCUUCUGGAACUUAAAGAGAUCCAAACCAUGCAGCGUUCUCGUGUUGACUGGCUUCGAUUUGGAGAUCGGAAUACGGCUUAUUUCCAGGCUUAUGCAGCGGCAAGGCGGAAAAGAAAUUAG